AUGGUAUGUAGCGUGUGGUAUGUAGCGUGUUAUGUAAUGUGUUUACUAGACGUGGUGUGGUAUGUAGUGUGGUAUGUAGAGUGUUAUGGAAGGUGUUUACUAGUCUUGGUCAUGGUAUGUAGCGUGUGGUAUGUAGCGUGGUAUGGAAUGUGUUUACUAGUCUUGGUCGUGGUAUGUAGCGUGUGGUAUGUAGCGUGGUAUGGAAUGUGUUUACUAGUCUUGGUUGUGGUAUGUAGCGUGGUAUGGAAGGUGUUUACUAGUCUUGGCGUGGUAUGUAGUGUGGUAUGUAGCGUGGUAUGUAGUGUGGUAUGUAGCGUGGUAUGUAGUGUGUGGUGUGGUAUGUAGCGUGUUAUGGUAGGUGUUUACUAGUCUUGGUUGUGGUAUGGAAUGUGUUUACUAGUCCUGGUCGUGGUAUGUAGUGUGUUUACUAGUCUUGGUGUGAUAUGUAGCGUGGUAUGGAAUGUGUUUACUAGACGUGGUGUGGUAUGUAGUGUGUUAUGGAAGGUGUUUACUAGUCUUGGUCGUGGUAUGUAGUGUGUUUACUAGUCUUGGUCGUGGUAUGUAGUGUGUUUACUAGUCUUGGUGUGAUAUGUAGCGUGGUAUGGAAUGUGUUUACUAGUCUUGGUCGUGGUAUGUAGUGUGUUUACUAGUCUUGGUCGUGGUAUGUAGUGUGUUUACUAGUCUUGGUGUGAUAUGUAGCGUGGUAUGGAAUGUGUUUACUAGUCUUGGUGUGGUAUGUAGCGUGUUAUGGAAGGUGUUUACUAGUCGU
rnacentral:lncRNA from 1 species